AACGAACGCUGGCGGCAGGCCUAACACAUGCAAGUCGAACGCCCCGCUCGGGGAGUGGCAGUCGGGUGAGUAGCACGUGGGAACCUUCCCUAUAGUACGGAAUAGCCCAGGGCCACUUGGAGUAAUACCGUAUACGCCCGAAAGCGGAAAGAAUUUCGCUAUAGGAUGUGCUCGCGUAGGAUUAGCUAGUUGGUGAGGUAAUGGCUCACCACGGCGACGAUCCUUAGCUGGUUUGAGAGAACGACCAGACACACUGGGACUGGGACGCGGCCCAGACUCCUACGGGAUGCAGCAGAGGGGAAUAGUGGACAAUGGGCGCAAGCAUGAUCCAGCCAUGCCGCGUGAGUGAUGAAGGCCGUAGAGUUGUAAAGCGCUAUUAGCGGAGACGAUAAUGACGGUACCCGCAGAAUAAGUCCCGGCUAACUUCGUG
rnacentral:rRNA from 1 species